rnacentral:rRNA from 1 species
AACGACUCUCGGCAACGGAUAUCUCGGCUCUCGCAUCGAUGAAGAACGUAGCGAAAUGCGAUACUUGGUGUGAAUUGCAGAAUCCCGUGAACCAUCGAGUCUUUGAACGCAAGUGGCGCCCCAAGCCUUCUGGCCGAGGGCACGUCUGCCUGGGUGUCACA